UACGGCUCAGUAACACGUAGUCAAUCUGCCCUAUGGACGUGGAUAACCUCGGGAAACUGAGAAUAAUCCGCGAUAGAUCAUAAUGCCUGGAACGGUUUAUGGUCCAAAUGAUUCGUCGCCAUAGGAUGGGACUGCGGCCUAUCAGCUUGUUGGUGAGGUAAUGGCCCACCAAGGCUAUUACAGGUACGGGCUCUGAGAGGAGAAGCCCGGAGAUGGGUACUGAGACACGGACCCAGGCCCUAUGGGGCGCAGCAGGCGAGAAACCUUUGCAAUGUGCGCAAGCACGACAAGGUUAAUCCGAGUGUUUCCUGCUAAAGGAAUCUUUUGUUAGUUCUAAAACCACUGAUGAAUAAGGGGUGGGCAAGUUCUGGUGUCAGCCGCCGCGGUAAAACCAGCACCUCAAGUGGUCAGGAGGAUUAUUGGGCCUAAAGCAUCCGUAGCCGGUUCUGUAAGUUUUCGGUUAAAUCCACUAGCUCAACUAAUGGGCUGCCGGAAAUACUGCANAACUAGGGAGUGGGAGAGGUAGACGGUACUCGGGAGGAAGGGGUAAAAUCCUUUGAUCUCUUGAUGACCACCUGUGGCGAAGGCGGUCUACCANAACACGUUCGACGGUGAGGGAUGAAAGCUGGGGGAGCAAACCGGAUUAGAUACCCGGGUAGUCCCAGCUGUAAACGAUGCAGACUCGGUGAUGCACUGGCUUUUGGCCAGUGCAGUGCCGCAGGGAAGCCGUUAAGUUUGCCGCCUGGGAAGUACGUACGCAAGUAUGAAACUUAAAGGAAUUGGCGGGGGAGCACCACAAGGGGUGAAGCCUGCGGUUCAAUUGGAUUCAACGCCGGAAAGGGCGAAUUCGUUUAA
rnacentral:rRNA from 1 species